rnacentral:miRNA from 1 species
GAGCCAGAAUACUUCUCUCUCUCUCUCUCUCUCUCUCUCUCUCUCUCUCUCUCUCUGUGUGUGUGUGUGUGUGUGUGUGUGUGUGUGAGAGAGAGAGAGAGAGAGAGAGAGAGAGAGAGAGGAGAGAGAGAGAGAGAGAGAUUUUAUCU